ensembl:sense_intronic
ACAUAUUUAUUUAUUACUGGGGAUGCAAAUCUAAUUUUGAUGCUGAAAUGUGGGUCACUGAUAGAACGUUUGUCUAGCAUGCUUGAGUCCAUGUGUUCUAUCACCUGCAUGACUCAAGGGAAGGGAGGGAGGGAGGAAUGGAGGGAAGGAGGGAGAGAGGGGAGAUGAAGGAGGAAGGACCUAUGGGGCCCGUAACACCCCCAGAGCAGCAGAGUACUGGAAGAACUGGUGGAGAUGGAUAUGCCACUAGGGGGCAGAAAAGACUCAGACCCCUGCCCACUGUGCUUGUGAGAUCUAUUUCUACUAAAGUUACUUGGGGGUGGGGGCAGAGAUUGUCAUAGCUAAAAGCAAAGUUUCUGAAAGUCAUUACCCUAGGCUGCUAUGGUAAGCAGUGUUUCCAUGUAUAAAAGAGUCACUUGGGAUCUUGUCAAACACAGAUUUCUCACAGGUUCCCAAGUAGGCUGGGGAUUACAGACGAUGCUUUAAAGUGGUCAAGGUCUCAAAUAUCACACAUAAAUCAUUGUUCUCUCUCUCUCUCCCUCUCUCUCUCUCUUCAUCAACUAUCAAUAAUUAUCUUUACUAUGACUAGCUUAUAUGACCAUUCAGGAUGAGAUCAGUAGCAACUGUGUAACUCACCCCAUGACAAAUAAAAUCCACGAUGCUGGUUGGUGGUCAUAGGUAACCGGAAGGGACUCAGCACACUGAGGUGGCCCUUUCUGAAAUGCAUUACUUCCUUGGAUACUGUGGACACUUAAGAGUGUUCUCUCCCUCUCUAGUGCCCACCAAGGUCUAGGAGACAUUCCUAUGAGCCAAAGUAGGAGGGAACCAUACAGACCUAAACCAUCUAAAGCCCAGAAAACUCCAGAAUUUUCUAAAGCAAUCGUGGAUCUUUCCAGAUUCUGUCUAAUCUUACAGAAGUCCUCAACACAGAUUAGAAGCAGACUGUGCUUGCAUAUAUUCAUAUCCUCUGUAUAUUGAACAAAUACCAAAUAAGUAGGCUUGAGACUACACAUUAGCAAGCUGUCACGUUAGCUUCUAACUGCGUGCAUGCAUGCGUGCUUGUAUGCUUGUGUGUAUGUGUGAAUGUGCAUGUGUGUGUACAUAUAUGUGUGCCUGUGUGUGUGCCUCUGUGUGUGUGUACACGUCUUAGCAUGUGCACAGAAUUCAGAAGGACAUUAGUUGUUCUGCUUUAUGAGGCUCCACUUUAUUCCCUAAGAUGGUCUCUCCCUGAGACUGAAGCUCUCCAUUUCAAUUGGGCUGGCUGGGUUCAUGGCUGGCUGAGAUUUCGUGGUCUCUGUCCUCCAACUCUCAGUUGGAGACACUCAGAUCCCCGCUUCUAUGUGUGUGCUGGGAAUUUGUCUGAACUCAGGUCCUUAUGCAUACACGGCAAGCACUCUUACCCACUGAGACAUUUCCAUAGUCUUUCCAUAUCAUUUUUUUAUCCCGUCUCCUAUAUACUUGUUUUUGUUGCAUGGAGAGGAGGGGAAGGGAAGCCCUAAGUGUUUGUUUUGCAGCCACAGAUGACAGUAAGUCCUCUUGCUUUAGGGUGUAAUUUUUUUUUUCCUCUUUCCUUACAGCUGUGACCUAGUUAAUUGUAGGUGGGAAUCAAACGCCCAAAUCAUCAGACUUUUGGCUUGGCUUAGGAUCUUGCUGUUAAGUGGUAGGAUGUCCUCCUUAAUGACAGGAAGUCGGGUCCCCUGAUCAGCAACAUUUGUGUUCUUUGAGCUCAGAGAUAAAGAACUGAGUGUAUAAGGCUGUGGUUUCCUUGUGGUCAGGGACAAGAGUCAAGGGAUAGAUGAGUCUGUGACCCAUGGAUGAAUCACUCCUGCCAAAACAGUUGAAAUGUUCAUCUCAGUGUUCUGGCCUGGAGUCCUCCAGUCCAUGUGGACAAAGGAGAGAAUGACUCACUCACUGUCCUUUUAUGGCUUCAUUGCUAAUGUUGAGCAUCCUAUAGACCAGAAUAUGAUAUCAUUAAGAAGUCACUUUAGCCGGGCGGUGGUGGCGCACGCCUUUAAUCUCAGCACUUGGGAGGCAGAGACAGGCGGAUUUCUGAGUUCAAGGCCAGCCUGGUCUACAAAGUGAGUUCCAGGACAGCCAUGGCUACACAGAGAAACCCUGUCUCGAAAAAAAGAAGA